rnacentral:pre_miRNA from 1 species
CUCGGGGACUGGGGGGUCCCUCAGCCCAGAUUGUGAGAGGGCGCAGGCCAGGCCAAGGGACCCCACCAGUGCAGG